rnacentral:rRNA from 1 species
GACGAACGCUGGCGGCGUGCCUAAUACAUGCAAGUCGAACGAAGCUGUUUUAACUGGUGCUUGCACCGACUUAAACAACUGAGUGGCGAACGGGUGAGUAACACGUGGGUAACCUGCCCCAAAGCGGGGGAUAACAUUUGGAAACAGAUGCUAAUACCGCAUAACCACAGAAACCACAUGGUUUCUGUGUCAAAGAUGGUUUCGGCUAUCACUUUGGGAUGGACCCGCGGCGUAUUAGCUAGUUGGUAAGGUAAUGGCUUACCAAGGCAAUGAUCCGUAGCCGAACUGAGAGGUUGAUCGGCCACAUUGGGACUGAGACACGGCCCAAACUCCUACGGGAGGCAGCAGUAGGGAAUCUUCCACAAUGGACGAAAGUCUGAUGGAGCAACGCCGCGUGAGUGAAGAAGGUUUUCGGAUCGUAAAACUCUGUUGUCAGAGAAGAACGUGUGCGAGAGUAACUGUUCGUGCAGUGACGGUAUCUGGCCAGAAAGCCACGGCUAACUACGAGCCAGCCGCCGCCGUAA